rnacentral:rRNA from 1 species
AUUGAACGCUGGCGGCAGGCCUAACACAUGCAAGUCGAACGGUAACAGGAAGAAGCUUGCUUCUUUGCUGACGAGUGGCGGACGGGUGAGUAAUGUCUGGGAAACUGCCUGAUGGAGGGGGAUAACUACUGGAAACGGUAGCUAAUACCGCAUAACGUCGCAAGACCAAAGAGGGGGACCUUCGGGCCUCUUGCCAUCGGAUGUGCCCAGAUGGGAUUAGCUAGUAGGUGGGGUAACGGCUCACCUAGGCGACGAUCCCUAGCUGGUCUGAGAGGAUGACCAGCCACACUGGAACUGAGACACGGUCCAGACUCCUACAGGAGGCAGCAGUGGGGAAUAUUGCACAAUGGGCGCAAGCCUGAUGCAGCCAUGCCGCGUGUAUGAAGAAGGCCUUCGGGUUGUAAAGUACUUUCAGCGGGGAGGAAGGGAGUAAAGUUAAUACCUUUGCUCAUUGACGUUACCCGCAGAAGAAGCACCGGCUAACUCCGUG